rnacentral:RNase_P_RNA from 1 species
CAGAAAAGAUAUAACCGUGCCUGAUAAGAUUUAUGAUAGUUUUAUCAGGUGAGGAAAGUCCGGGCUCCACCGGAAAAAAUGCCGGGUAAUAACCGGGCGAGUGAUGGUAGUUGUUAUUUAUAACAUAACCCAUGGCUUGACAGAUAGUGCAACAGAAAGUGUACCGCCUAUAUUUUAGGUAAGGGUGAAAAGGCGAGGUAAGAGCUCACCGCAAAAUUGGUAACAAUUUUGGCAUUGAAAACCUCAUUUGGAGCAAAGUCGAGUAGUCAGUAUUGCUUUUCCGGGCAGAUUACUGAGGGUAGAUUGCUAAAGAUAUUUGGUAACAAAUAUUUCGGAUAGAUGGUUAUGAGUUUUGUUUUUUAACAAAACAGGACAGAACCCGGCUUAUAGUCUUUUCUGUUUU